GCGCUUUGGCAGCACAUAUACUAAAAGUGGAACGAUACAGAGAAAAUCAGCAUGACCCCUGCGCAAGGAUGACAUGCAAAUUCAUGAAGCGUUCCAUAUUAAA